UAGCUAUGGAGGCAAGUGAAUGUGCAACAAGGGAUCUCUAACCUUCAAACCGUUUGAGGGAGUAUACUCUAUGAUAUGAUUAAGAAUCUCUGGCCAGAGUAUGAAUGAGAUUUAGGAAAGUCGUUCCAAAUCACAUUCAAGGUAAUCAUAUAAGCACACGAAUCAGAUUGGAUAGUAGACAUGAAUAAACUAUCAAACCAAACAAUGUGGUCAAGAGUAUUGUAUUAGAGAAAUACCGUAUUGCAUUUAUAAUCCUAAACUAAAUAGGUUCUCUACCUCUUCUGAUUAGCUUGGGUAACCAUGAUAUGCUGCUAGGUGUCACUCUUGGUUUGUGGAAGUCCUAAACGUCUAUAAACACUAAAGGGAGAAUUGAAAGUAAGUUUCAAUUCACAAUCGAUUUGAAAGAGUUUUAAUCGCCCACUGCCUCGCUAAAAGGAACCUAAUGGAUA
rnacentral:lncRNA from 1 species